rnacentral:rRNA from 1 species
GACGAACGCUGGCGGCGUGCCUAAUACAUGCAAGUCGAGCGGACGAUUCGAAAGCUUGCUGUUUAAUCGUUAGCGGCGGACGGGUGUGACACAUGUGGGCAACCUGCUCUGUAGAGGGGGAAAACACCGAGAAAUCGGUGCAAACACCGUAUAACACGAAGUGUCACAUGACGUUUUGUAGAAAGGCGGCGCAAGCUGCCGCUACAGGAGGGGCUCGGGGCGUUUGAGGUAGAGGGUCGGGUAACGGCUUACACAGGCGGCGAGGCGUAGCCGAACUGAGGGGGUGAUCGGCCACACUGGGACUGGGACAGGGCCCAGACUCCUACGGGAGGCAGCAGUAGGGAAUGUUCCGCAGUGGUCGAAAGUCUGACGGAGCAACGCCGCGUGAGCUGAGACGGCCUUGGGGUCGUAAAGCUCUGUUGUUAGGUAAGAACAAGUAACGUAUUAACUGACGUUAGUAUGACGGUACCUAGUGAGAAAGCAACGGCUAACUACGUG